GUGACGUGGAUUUUAAAUUUCUCCUGCGGUCUUUUGGUCUCGCCGCUUGGCAACAAUGCCCCGAAAAAGCUAUGCGCGGCGCUGUGACGUGCGCCGGCGUGGUGACGUCCACCAAUCAACUUUGCGAACGUCGUCUCCGAUGUCCGAUGCCGGUGCAUACGUGACCGUGUUGACACACUUCCCCGGCCGGACUCAUUUUCGAUCGGGCCAUCGGACUUCGCAUGUCUACCGCUUAUCGGCCGAUUAGUUUGCCCGACAGUUAAGCCGUCCCCGCCUUUCUUUUCAGUUUCCUUCUCUCUUCUGAACGCGUGGGAGGUAGUUCUGCAAAUCGUGAACCGUCCGAGCCAUCACGUGGAAUCAGCGUGGAAUUUCGGCAAGCCCCAUCGUUCGCAUCCCGAGAGUGCUCUAGUGCCCGGCGUCUGUUCUCUGUUUCAUCCCUCAGGAUUACUGUGAUCUCAGCUUCUCUUUUCUGUACCGUAUCGGACUAUUUUCACACCCAGGUGCUUGUGUCUCAAAGGAAGCGCCUAAGUUACCUUUUUCUGUCGGUGCCUAACGUCAUGAUCCUGCUCUUCUGAUAACAUCAACCGGCUAGUCUGAGACUGAAACAAUGGGUACUGGUGGUCGGACGAACGCACCCCACAGAAGGUGGGUCCGGACCCUCUGAAAAGGGUCCCGCACACGAAGCCCCCGUUCUCCCUGAGCGAGAUCAAGAAGGCCAUCCCCCCGCACUGCUUCGACCGCUCGAUAGUCCGCUCCUUCUCCUACGUCCUCUACGACCUGGCCAUCAUCUUCGGGCUCUACUUCGUGGCCUCGACCAUCAUCCCCACCCUCCCGGCCCCGCUCCGCUACGUCGCCUGGCCCGCCUACUGGAUCGUCCAGGGAUGCGUCAUGACCGGCGUCUGGGUCCUGGCCCACGAGUGCGGGCACCACGCCUUCAGCGACUACCAGUGGCUCGACGACACCGUCGGCUUCGUCCUCCACUCGGCGCUCCUCGUGCCGUACUUCUCGUGGAAGUACUCGCACGCCCGCACCACUCCAACACGGCCUCCCUGGAGCGGGACGAGGUCUUCGUGCCCAAGAAGAAGGACGGCAUCAGCUGGUACGCCAAGUACUUCAACAACCCCCCCGGCAGGAUCGUCCUCCUCCUGGUCACACUCACGCUUGGAUGGCCGCUCUACCUCGCCUUCAAUGUUUCCGGAAGGCCUUACGACCGAUUCGCCAACCACUUCGAUCCGCAAAGCCCGAUCUACUCUGAGCGCAAGCGAAACCAAAUCAUCAUGUCAGACUUGGGUAUCCUGGCCGUUUCUUACAUCAUUUACCGGUCGGUCAUGGCGUACGGGCUGGCCCAUGUGAUGUGUAUCUACGGGUGCCACUCCUGAUCGUCAACGGGUUCUUGGUCUCCAUCACGUUCCUGCAGCACACGCACCCCUCGCUGCCCCACUACGACUCAUCCGAGUGGGACUGGUUCCGAGGUGCCCUCGCCACGGUCGACAGGGACUACGGCAUCCUCAACCACGUGUUCCAUCAUAUCACCGACACGCACGUAGCCCACCACCUCUUCUCCACGAUGCCUCAUUACCACGCCAUGGAAGCAACGCAGGCCAUCAAACCCCUCCUGGGAGAAUACUAUCAGUUCGACGGAACACCCAUCUACAAAGCCAUGUACAGGGAGACCAGAGAGUGCGUCUUCGUCGAGCGGGACGAGAAGGACCACACCAAAGGUGUCUUCUGGUACAGCAACAAGAUUUGAUGAUGAUUCCUCAAAGACGACCCCUCCACCACAACGAUUGUAUUGAUAGGUAGCCUUCGUUUCAGUCCUAGUGACUGGAUGUCAGUGGCGCGGCGUGCUUUGCCGAUAUAUCGAUUGAUCUGCCAUUUGAACCUAUGGGAAAAGAUCGAUAAACAAGGUUUACCUUAAUUUUCGAUCUUUGAUCAUAGCUUCGAAUGGGGAAAUAUCGAUAGUCGGUCUCGCGCUGCGCCACUGCUGGAUGUAACGAUCACCGGGCCCAGUUUUCGGAUCUUCUCGAGAUAAUUGUGUUUUAUCAGGGACUACUUACCGCGGGGAUGGAUUGAAAAAUAGUCAUGAGCGGGGUUUUUUCUUAGUUCGUUAUGUCCGAUUUUCACUGUAGGAAAAAUAGUGAAAAAAUAGUGAUAAUAGUCUUAAGGUUUUUUUAUUGUUACUGUAAGAGUCAAGCUCCUCAUGAUGGGAUUUUAAAAAAAAAAGGGGAAAAUUUGGGGGUUUUUUUCGGGCAAAUGCAAUUUAAGUACCUUUUUUAAAAAAAUUUUCCCCCCCUUUAAAAAAGAAACUUGGAGACAAGAACCCCCGCACUCUAAAAUCCCUCUCGCUACAUUUUUUUAAAAUUACGGUGCUUUCUGUCAAUUAUAACACAAAGUAUCUCCUGAUUCUGCAGCAUGAGUUGCUUAAGUUUUUAAAAAAUGACCUAGAGAAAAUGUAUAGUGUUCGAAACCCUUAACUUUGUAUUAGCCGUUGCUGCCUUG
rnacentral:lncRNA from 1 species